rnacentral:lncRNA from 1 species
AACUAUCCUAAACUCCAACACAAAUACCAAAAGGCAACUCAAACAACAUACAUUACUCAUAAACUCAACAUUAACCCUAACAUGCAAUCAACUAACUUACACAUGCAUUUCUACCCCAUAAACUUCAUAAAACUUGUUUAAAACAUACAAGAAAGGUAGGAUCUAGGCUUACCUCUUGAAGAUCGAGAGGAAAGACGAUCCUAACUUGGAGAUGGGAGAAAUCUAGCUCCUUGAAUCUCCAAGCUCCAAAACUUGCUCUAAGCUUCAAAAUCUUCAAAACCAAGUUAAAACUUGUUAAAACUUGAAAGAUUUGAGAAAGAACAC